CUCGUCUUUUCGCCGGCUGUCUCGGCGCUCAAAGCAUGCGUGCUAUCAACAAGUAAUAAAGGCAUUUCUACUGCGUCUUUCAGCUGACUACUCCAAACUUCCUCUAGCCAGCCUGCUGAAAUACUUACCUAGGGACAUGAUGAAUUUCCGUCACGUUUAAUUCAGGAUUGGAUGUCUUCCUGAGAAACGUUCUUUAGCUCCGUUGCAAACGCGUGGGCUUAGUGGAGCCAAUGGUAUUCUGCUCUUCUUUGGGUUGAGGCUUAAAGGCUGAUCCUGUUGAGACCCCCUGAGAUACCCAACUCCAUGGGAACUGAGACCACUUGACUGCGUUCAGCACCCUUCAGGAUACAGUCCUAGGAAAUGGUCAAAGGCGCCAAGGGAGCAUCACCUGAGAUUUGAAACGAAGACAAGGGUAACGGUGAGUGUGUGUUCCUGCGUGCGGGGCUCGUGGCUUUGUGGGGAGAGUUGGUUGCUCUCAGGAGGCAGGACAUGCUGAGGAAUUGCUGUCGUGAC
rnacentral:lncRNA from 1 species